GUAGUUAGCCGUCACUUUCUUGUCGGGUACCGUCAUUAUCGUCCCCGACAACAGGAGUUUACGAUCCGAAAACCUUCUUCCUCCACGCGGCGUCGCUGCAUCAGGGUUUCCCCCAUUGUGCAAUAUUCCCCACUGCUGCCUCCCGUAGGAGUCUGGACCGUGUCUCAGUUCCAGUGUGGCCGAUCAGCCUCUCAGCUCGGCUACCCAUCGCAGGCUUGGUGGGCUGUUAUCUCACCAACUACCUAAUGGGACGCGAACCCCUCCUUCAGCGGAUUGCUCCUUUGACCUCAUCCCGAUGCCGGGUCGUGGUCUUAUGCGGUAUUAGCACUUGUUUCCAGGUGUUAUCCCCCUCUGAAGGUCAGGUUGUUCACGCGUUACUCACCCGUUCGCCACUAAAAUUUAUCUUCCAUCCGAAAACUUCCGAUAAAUCUCCGUUCGACUUGCAUGUGUUAGGCACGCCGCCAGCGUUCGUCCUGAGCCACUAAUACAAACUACUGA
rnacentral:rRNA from 1 species